GAAUAUUGGACAAUGGGCGAAAGCCUGAUCCAGCCAUGCCGCGUGAGUGAUGAAGGCCUUAGGGUUGUAAAGCUCUUUCAGUAGGGAAGAUAAUGACUGUACCUACAGAAGAAGCCCCGGCUAACUUCGUGCCAGCAGCCGCGGUAAUACGAAGGGGGCUAGCGUUGUUCGGAUUUACUGGGCGUAAAGCGCACGUAGGCGGAUUGGUCAGUUAGGGGUGAAAUCCCAGAGCUCAACUCUGGAACUGCCCUUAAUACUGCCAGUCUAGAGUCCGGAAGAGGUGAGUGGAACUCCUAGUGUAGAGGUGGAAUUCGUAGAUAUUAGGAAGAACACCAGUGGCGAAGGCGGCUCACUGGUCCGGUACUGACGCUGAGGUGCGAAAGCGUGGGGAGCAAACAG
rnacentral:rRNA from 1 species